GGGCUUCUAAAGUGUUUAAGAGAAGGGCCCUCAGUUCUCCUUUCUCUGAUGCAGUGAUCUGGAAACCACGAAAUCCAAAUGGUGCAGCCAUAAGGAGCAAUUCACCUGCGCCUCCAAGUAACUGCCUGAAGGGGAGAACUUGGCCUGAGGAAACCAUGAUGUAGAAUGCAUUGGGAAGAUUCCAGUAGGAUCAAGGCAAAAGGGGCUUGGAGGUGGAAAAUGGGCCAGGACUGUCCCCUGUGCCCCACCUCCGCCUUGCAACCCUGUCAUCAGCACCGGGAAGGCGACCACUAUAAGUGCAGCUGCAUCUGUUUCAAGUUGUAACAUGCAGACGGUCCUGCUUGGUGUGAAGACACCACAGGAAAUUGGGGAAGAGCGAGGGGAAGGAGCUGUAUCUUGUCCUCUCUGCAUCUGUGAUCCAAGGCUUUCUUGUGAAUUGGUUUUUACCCACAUUUAAACUAUGAUGCCCAGAAUGGAACUCAGAGCUGCAAGCACCCCCAUCCAUCUUUGGAAGCCCUGGACAUACUCAAUGGAGCCGGCAGAAGACCUGCAGCCCCAAGUCUGCCUGUCGAAAGGCAUCUCCCUGGAGGCAUUGGGCUCCCUCUGAGCUCAGCUGUGGCUCUCGGCCUUCCUCCUCCAGCUCCUGUCCUCUUCUACCAGCCUUGAGAUGGUGGUGUGGAGUUAUGUUCCCUCUGUUUUGUGUGGGCUGCUUAUGUCUGGGAUGAUGGAAUCGUCACUAAAUGGGAAAUGUUUAUGGAGGAGAGAGAUGGGGAAGUCAUUCCCUCCUGUUAACAUUUUGGUCCAAGUUAGCUUAUUCAUAUGAAUGUCACAAAGUCAUAAAUUGCUCCUAAUCAAAUCUGUGCACACAGUAAAGCCUCUUUCAUGCAAUGAGAGUGCUUACUUAAUUGAAUGUUACAUAUAAACGAAGGUUACUCCUUCAAGCGACAAACGUGUGAGGAAUGUCAAUGGAAAAUUCUGAAAAUGAGCCCCUGAAGGAGGGAAGAUGGCAGAUGGAAGACGCUGAAAGAGAAUAGGAUGGGGCCAGAUGCUCUGGGAGAGCACCCAGGGAAUCCCAGUUACCCUUGGGUUUCACGUCCACGGGCAAUACCAGGAUGCCAAAUGGCUUUCUGAGAAUCCAUCCCUCUUCAAGGACUUGUGGCCAGAGACUUGUCUAUAAUGGGACCUGCAUCAUGUCAGAGCCCUAAGCCUAUUUUUUUUUUUUUUUGAGAUGGAGUUUUGCUCUUGUUACCCAGGCUGGAGUGCAAUGGCGAGGUCCCGGCUCACCACAACUUCCGCCUCCUGGGUUCAGGCAAUUCUCCUCCCUCAGCCUCCUGAGUAGCUGGGACUACAGGCACGUGCCACCAUGCCCAGCUAAUUUUUUGUAUUUUUAGUAGAAACGGGGUUUCACAAUGUUGACCAGGAUGGUCUCGAUCGCCUGACCUUGUGAUCCACCUGCCUCGGCCUCCCAGAGUGUUGGGAUUACAGGCGUGAGCCACCGUGCCCGGCGCCCUAAGCCUAAUUAACCACCACUGCGUGAAUUAGCGUCCUCAUGGUGUCACCUUAGAUUCUUCUGAACAAGGGCGAACCCGCCAGCGUUGAUGUCAAGGCUCCAUCUGGUUCUCCUGGUGUUAGGUGGAAACGUGAGGCUGGAUCUGCUAAGGAACCUUUCACUCCUGCGUAUGGCAGGGCUUCUUCUCUACGCCCCACCCGCAAGGGAGCCAGGCCUUGGCGUCCCAGACCACAGGAGCAACCAAAAUGAGUGCCGACUCUCGGGAGACGAUGAUGGGAGCUGUUUCCUUAUCCUUUUUUCAGAGCCCUAGAAGUUUACAAAGAUAAAAAACAAGAGCAUUUCAUGGGAAACAGCAUGCAAAGGCCCAUACACGCUGUAUAUUUUUAUACGAAUCAGCAGAAGAUAAAGAGCUUGUCUUGAUUCAUGCUGUUCCUCAGGGAAUGUUUUGAAAAAAAGCAAAAAAUCAGUGAGAAGAGUGAUGCCUAUAAAUAUAAUCGGAAAGGAAAAUGAAAACAACCCUCUAAACGCUGAGUUUGACGAAAGCGUAACAAAGCCGAGGAGCAUUUUUAUGUUUUUUUCCUUUCAGUUUUGCUUUUGAUCAUGUUUCUUCCUGGGGUUUUAAGAAUAUAUACAUCAAGUGGGAGAGACAAAAACCCCAAAUAACUGUAGAAUGAUGAGAACGAAGGAAAGAGAAUGUAGGCCCUUUUAUCCCAUGUUGUUUUUCUCAGAAAAAUUUACAGUCUAACAUUUCUCCUGAUUUUCACUGGAAAGCAGUUUUCAUUCAGAGUGAAAUGAGUGAGGAUCAUGAGUUUGCCUGGAUGUCUUUUUUUGUUUUGAAACCAGCACUGUGUAGUGUUCUUACUUUCAAACAUGUGUCUCGAGUUUACCCUUCAAUACCUGAAAGUCUGAAAUUUUACAGGGACAAAGUACAAUUAAGAAUUAAGCUAAAAAGAGCUAAAUUGUGGUCAACAAAUGUUUCUGUUAAAGGACCAGAAAGUAAAUAUGUUCUGUGUUGUGGCCACAAUUCGACCCAGCUCUGCCAUCCUCGCACAAAAGCAGCAAGAGACGGGCUGCACACAGAGGGGGGCUAUGUUCUCAGACACUUCUCGGGUAUUCGCAUGUCAAUUUCACACAAUUCUCACAUGUCACAAAAUGUUAAGAUUCCUUUGAUUUUUAUUUCAGCCAUUUAACAGUGUAAGAACGAUUCUUAGUUCAUGGGUUCUAUAAAAACAGGCGACAGCUGGAUUUGACCCACGGGCCAUAGUUUGCUGACCGUUGUGCUGAAUCACGCUCUUGACCUGAUUUACUGUUAAAGUUGUUCUGAUAAACACAUUUCAACACUCGAAAAUGAUGGGUGGAUUCAUCUGUUUUAUCGAAUACUUUUACUUUUCAUUACUGACCUCUGUCUUGGUUAAAGAUGCCAAGAACUUAAGCAUUACUCAUCAGAUGUUCUACCAUGACCUCGGGUCCCAGGCCAGGGAGGCUGGCAUAACGAGGGUCGGAUGGCGUGUGGUGGUGGUAACCAUGAUGAUGGAGGCUGCUAGAGAAGCAGAACUGACUGUGUGUCUGGGACUGUUUGAAGGGCUUUAGAACGCCAGCCCCCAGCUAGUCAACACGAUGAACCUAAGAGAAAGGUGCUAACAUUCAUCCUCAGCUGAGGCACAGGAGGCUGACUGACCUACUCAAGAUGACAUACAGUCCAAGUGGGAGCAUCUGUCCCACACUUGGGUGGGCCAAUCCAGGAACCGCACUGACCCUUUCCACUACAGAGAGGAGACUUCCCCCCUGCCAAGGACUCAUCCCGAGAAAGCAGCGCAAUGAAAUAAAACGGAGAUGAAAAUGAAGAGCAAUGAAAUGAGCUGAAACUUGGAGAGCUGCUUACCUGAAGAGUAAACAAGUUCUGCCAUAAAUGCCAAGGAUCCUGCAAGUGAUAGAAACUCAACGUCAACUAACCGAAGCUCACCUGAGCGGGACGGCCAGGGUGAGCGUCCCGAGAGCUGAGCCCAGAGACUAAAGCAUCGUCCUCAGGAUGCCCCCUCCAUCCCCUGCCACCUCCCGUCUCUGCCGUCUCCAUUCUGCUUUCAGGUGGGUCUCAUUGACCCUCACUACAAUGAAACAAUGUUCAGGUGGCGAAGACUGCUUCUGACAGCCCUACCCUAGAAACUGGUAGGUCAAAUUAUGAGAUUAAGCUCCCCUUCCCAUCCAGCUCCAGGGAGAAGUCCAGGGAGCUGCUCCAAUGACCUCCCAGUAGUGGUUAAACGCCCUCCCAGAGUGAGUGCUGUGGGUGCUCUGGUGCCAUUUUCCCAGCCUAUUACGCACUCAACACAAUACCAGGGGAAGGUGGGGAGGUAACUGCCAGUCCCACGAACACUUGGAUUAGGAAGAGAAUUCCACAAAGGAGGGACCGAGGCACACUACAGCCAGAGAGGAGGGGCUCCCCAGCUGAUAUGACUGAACUCUAGGGGCCCAGAGUAAGAAAAGAGCCUUGGCACCCUGCAGGCGACCCUGGAUGAGACCAUAAGAAAACUUCCUUAUAUUUCAGCUCAUUAAACUGGCUCAGAGAACGAAAAUGACAGCAAAUGGGUGUUUUCCUAGCAUUAGAAUUAUUGCAUGAAGUGGUUCUGGCCGAGCUGUAGCACACAGGUUUUUAGGUAGACUUUCCAUAGUCUGAUACAUGUGCACAGACACACACAUGUGCACACGAGCCUGCACAUUCACACAUGCACGCACCAUGCACACACACAUGCACACACAGCUUGCACAGUGCCUGGGUCGGAACUAAACAGGCUAUGUCCUGAAAUCUCAGUGGCUCAAUACAGCAACAGUUUCCUCUGCACUUGCAUAGGCAGAGGACUCCGGGAGCUUCCAUCUUGUGACUCCAUACACUCAACGCGUAGUUCCCUGAUCUCCAAGGUGGGAAAAUUAUGCCCACUGUCCUUGAACUCCCAUUUGCCAGCAAGGGCAGGUUUACACACCUCCCUCCUCCCCGCCAUAACAUGACAAAAUGGUACAGUGACAUGCACGCACCUCAUACUAUGAACCACCUCAUAAAAGAAUUCCAGUGCUGGGUACAAAGACUUUGCCAUCAUUUUGUCCUCUCUGAGCCAGUUUUCAAUGAGGUGAAAUGCAAUGAAAUAUUGUUGCAGGCUCAGUUCGGGUCUCCUGGAGGAAGCCCAGGCCCUGUCCCUCUCCGAUCUCCUGGAGGAUGCCCAGGCCCUGUCCCUCUCCGAUCUCCUGGAGGGCCGUCACACCCUUGAACUCCCCAUCAUAAUCACCAGUUUCUCACUAAGGAUGUGAUGGUUAAUCUCGUGUGUCAACUUAGUUGGGCUCCAGUGCCCAGAUAUUUGGUCCAAACAUGACUGUGAUGUUUCUGUGUUCGGUGUUUUUUGAAUGAGGCAAACAUUUAAACAGGUGUACUCUGAGUAAAGCAGAUUCCCCCCCUAAUGCAGGUGAGCCUCAUCUCACCAGGUGAAGGCCACCAUGGGACAAAGACAGAGGUCUCCCGAACAGGAGAGUAGGAAGAAAUUCUGCCAGCAGGCAGCCUUCGGACUCCAACUGCAACUCUUCCCUGAGUACCCCCAGCCUGGCAGUCUACUCUACCCGAUGCUGGACUCAUCAAACCUCCAGCCAAUUGCUUAUAAUCUCUCUCUCUGCAUAUAUACAUACAUAUGUGCACAUAUAUGUGUGUAUGUGUGUAUAUAUAUAUAGACAGAGAGAGAUGAGUGGAUGAGUGUGUGUGUGUGUGUGUGUGUGUGUGUCUGUGUCUGUGUCAAGAGAGACAAAAAAGAGAGCCUUUAUUGUCAGAGGAGAAGUAAGAGCAGGUGGACUCAAAGAUCUCAAGCUGUGGUUAGUAUAUUUCUAGUAUUUCAGACCCUGAAAACGAACAGCGUUUCUUUUCUUCUCAUAUGGCCGCCUCCCCUUCAUGAGUUGAACGCACUCACGGAUCACUGAGCAAAUCCAGCAUCCCCCUAGUCUACACUCUGGGUACCAUUUUUCUCGUGUGUGUGUCUGUGUGUGUUUUGCCAUUCCACACUAAAGAACAUUGACUAUUGUUUUACCCUGGACUUUAAAAAAAAAAUGGCUUGAUACAAAAUGCCUUUCCUUUAGUCCCUCCCACACUACAUUUUUCUAUUUGCCUCUUCCCAUUAAAAUGAGGACUUUUGUUGAUUUGGUGUAUGCACCUGCAUGGCACUAAGAAAGGAAAGGUCCAUUCUAUUGCAGGGACUGGCACAAAAGUCAGCCCCCAAACUAAACUUGGUCUUAUCUAGAAAGUGAAAUAGCCAAGAAUCCUCUAAAAUGAAGGAGAUUCCAGAAUAUAAGGGUGAAUGCAGAGGCAAAUGCUGUUGUGAAAUGCAGCAUUUCUUAUCCCAUUCAGUUAUUAAUGACCCCCUAACAUGGCAUGGUGGACAGGUAUUAAUUCCGACCUUCCAUACAGUUUGGAUUCCUAUCCUGUCUCAUCAUGACUCAGUUUCCCUAUCUAUGACAUAAAAAUAAAAAAUACCACAAAUUCUCUCAAAGUUUCUGCAAAGAUUAGUGUGAGCAACGACAAGUACCCAAUUUUCUGGAAACUGCCUUAAAUCACUAACAGAAAAUUCAUGAACAAAAGUUACCUCUAAGAGAAUGAGUAUCACAGCUGAAGAGAAACUUCCAUUUCCUUGCAGCCAUUCUCUGCAAAGUAAGGAGCCUGAUGUUUCCCAAAACCAUCUGUUGCCUUCUUCUGUUAUUCCAGCUGAAUGCUUUAGAAAUCAUUCUGCACCACUAAAAAUAAAAUCCACGUAGAACCUAAAAUAACCAACGCCAAGUUACUGGAGCCAAAUUCAGGUUGUAUUUUUAAAAGUGUCUAUGAAACCAUCUAUAAAUAGAAAGGCUUUCGUGUUAUUUUUAUUACUUCAUUUUAAUGGAAACAGACUCCAGUUGGUUAGGAUGUGGAGAGGCCCUGCAGGGCUCACAGCCCUAAUGCCACGGCACCAGGCGCGCCCUUCCAGAUGGAAGGCUGACUCCAGCCAAAGGAAUCUUGGGGGGUGGUGUUGCACCCAGAGCAUCUUCAGUGCUUGCUCUAGGUUAUUCAUCCCAAAGCCUCCUUAGAAACCUCCUGGGGUGUCUCAAAUCCUUUCAAACAUGAGCAUAUUUCUGUAAAUCAAAUGACAAGUUGAUUUUCUUCUAUUUUAGGUGAAUGUGGACCACAGAGAGCUUCUCUGGGAGUUGGCAGAGGAAACACUAGGCAAUGCCACAGCUCCAGGGUCUGCUGGCAGGAGGGUGUGUCUGAGAUAGGCAUCUCUGAGGUGUAGUGUGCCCGUCUAGGCCCCCAGAGCCAGGGAGCCUCUAAUUCACAUGCCACCUCACGGGGCAGGAAGAGGGCUCAUUACCGCCUCGCAUUGGCUUAGGGCAGACAGGGAACAAGGAGACAGCCCGGUGGCGCUCUGGCAGUGGCCUCCAUCCCUAGACCUGGAUAGGAAGCUGAGAGUCUGGGCAAGUCCUAGCGGGUGGCUCCCAUCUGCCUGAGUGUCACCAUGUGCCACCAUGAGCCGUGGGAAAUAAGCAGCACAUCAGAUGGGCAGAGAGUGCCCUAUUCUGCUUCCUAUGGCAAAAACUGAGCCUUCACGCCCCCAGCCGCAAACAGCUCCAUCUCCUGCUGCAAAAGUGUGUUCGAGAGCUACAGCUUGACUGGCCAGACAGAUAUUCGAGCUCCUUGUCUCAGAUUUUCUGUCUGGGUCACUGACCUGAAGGCCGCGACAGAUCCGGUAACACUCAUCCAGCAAUAUGAGGGUGUCACUCUGCCAGCCAUCUACUGUGUGGCCUUGGGUAUGUUCCUUAACCCCUCUGUGCCCCGUGGGUUCUUCAGCUGUAAGAAGGGGGUAUAACUGCACCUGUUCAUAGGACAGUUGUGGAUUAAGUCAGUAAGGAGCCUGGCAUCAUUCCUGGCAUCAUUCCAUAAGCCCUAUGGAAGUUUUUGGCAAUAAGAUCAUUAAAUGUACAAGUUAAUGUAAUUCUGAAUAUCAUGGGUCCAUAGGAUAAACUGAUUGUGUAUCAACAGGAAUUUGUUCUAAUAGAUUACGUCCUGUCUCCGACAACAGCAGAGUCUCCAUGAAAUGUGAAAGUGUAGGCGUGUGUACUCCUGCUCGUGAAGGACAAGUUAGAUAACUUGCAAGAAUUAUGAUGCACUUUAUUUGUUCUCAGGAUGAUGAUUUUGUCACGUUCCUGUCACUGUUUCACAGGAAGCAGGUAACAGGGCCACCCAUUGGUAUGUGUAAAAUAAACCUAUCAAAGCAAAAACGUGGUAUCAAACCACAUGCUUUCCACGGUGCCUGUCAACGAGGGCUCACCGUGGCCCUCUCCAGCCCUUGCAACUGAGUGACGGCUCAGUGGACCGGCAAGACGGCAUCUCCAGGCCCUCUCCUGUCACUUGAAGGAGGCCUCUCAUCUCUCUGGCCACUGGCACCCCAAUUCAAAAUGAGGAUUUUAACAAGAUGAACCCCUAUAUUUCCACCUUGACUUCUAAAUUGUAUAUUGCAGAGAGUGCUGGAAAAAAAAGAAUGAAGUGAAAAAAAUUAAAGAAAAGGAAAGAGAAAGGAUUCGCUAACCCAUGAAGUUUAUGUCCAGACGACUCACAAAUGACAUUCUGAGAAAAAGAUGUGGUUAUUGCAAGCAGAGUUUCUUAAACAUCACGUGCCGAGCCCUCCUUCGAGGGUUGUUUGUGUCUUGUUGGGUGUUGGUGAUUCUGGUGCCCACGUUUCAUGAUGCUGGCACAAUUCUUUUUCUCAUCAAUGGGAGAAGAGCUGUUACUCAGGACAGCCACGCUAGCCUGGACUGAUUUGGAAAACUGUCCUACGCCAGAAAUAAACAGGCCAUCAAUCCCAAAUGUCAAGCAUGACACAAGGAAGUUGGAAGGACCCACCAAACUUAAGGAUUCUCCUAACACAGAAACUGAGGAGGAACAGUACCUAGGACUCAAAGACCAGAAAUGUUCCUUCAGUGUGCUGUCUUUUGUAUUCAUGUUGGGGUGCAGAGGGGUCAUUAGAAGCAAAGCAUUGUAGAGUCCCUUUUGGAGUAUUGACCAAAAAUUUUAUAAAAUGUAUAAUUUUACUCAAAAUUAAUCAUAGGUCAUUGGAGUGAAUCUCAUAUGAAUGGCAGUCCUCCCAGUAAUGAAUGAGUUCUCACUCUUAAUUCAUUGCAGAGCUGGUUGUUUAAAAGAGCCUGACGUUUCUCUUGCCGUGUGACAUGCCAGCUUCCCCUUUGCCUUCUGCCCUCAGUAAAAGCGUCUGCACCAGAACAUAUGUUGUUGCCCUGCUUGUGGAGCCUGCAGAACCGUGAGCCAAAUAAGCCUCUUUUCUCUGCAAAUUCACAGUGUCAGGUAUUUCUUUAUAGCAAUGCAAAAUGGACUAAGGCACCUGUCUACACCACUUAGUUCAAUUUAUUAUAUUUUGGGGGGCUGUUUAAUCAGCAUACAUUGACCUUUACGUGUCAGCAAUUGAGUGAAGGUGAUAUUCAGUUGUUUUUGUGUCUUCAUAAGCAGAUACCUGGCAUAAAUCACUUAAGACAUCUUAUUUCUAUUUGGAUCUGAUUUCCCAAAUCUAUCUAUCUAUCUAUCUAUCUAUCUAUCUAUCUAUCUAUCUAUCUAUCUAUCUCUAUCUAUCUAUCAAUCAAUCAUCUACAUACAUAUAAUAUUUUCAAAUAUAUGUAUUUGAAAAUAGCCUUCUGAGGCUUGCUAUCUUCUGCCUGGACUAUUUCAAGAUUCCUCUAGAAGAAGAUGAAGGCAGUUCCGUGUUCCUGUGUGAUGGGGAUGCUGCAGGAUGUGGCCCCUUGUUCUGGGAGCUCCUGGAACUCUGAACUUCUCACCCAGGCUGUUCUGGUGCUAGAAAACUUUUCUUCACGGAUAAGUUGAAAAACCUUGUUUGCAAACUGUCAAAGUCCCCGAGGCACCAGUUUCUCUGAGCAUUCUCACCUGUAGCUAACAUUUCUCUUGCGACAGUACACCAGGUCUAAAAUUCAGUUUCCUGGUAUUCUGGUAUAUGAUGGAGGUACCAUGAGACAAGGCCUAGGAAGCUUUUGGCCAGGAGCAAUUCUUGUAUGAUGGCUUGAAAAGAAAAGCCUGAAUAAGAUGUCAUGUGGAGAAUAUUUAAGUGUAUGGAGCUACUGAGUUAUACUUUCCAAAAUGUGAUACAGUUGAGAAUACUUUUAUUGAAGAAUUAAAUCCAUGGCCAUGACUUCCUUAACUUUCUAAUCACUUUAUAGAGCUAUAUUUGUGCCAUAAUUUGAAGAAGAUUGGGCUGUGACCACUGGACAAUGUCUAUGGUACCCCUGGCCAUCUUGACCUGACCCUGGUUUUUAAAAACUGAAAACCUUGGCAUACUGCCAUGCUUCCCAGCUCUGCCCUACUUGCCUCCAAGAGAAGCUUCUAGAUACAGAAAACAUGGACUGAAGAAGGACUCAGCUUUUCUCAGGGGCAGCAGUGCAGAGAAGAAAGGAUAUGAGCAAAAGGCAAAUGACUCUGGAGAGGGGACGAGUGUGUGCAUGGUGUUUGCACAAAGCUGAGGACAGUGUGGUCCAUGGCAAUGAGUGACUGGUGUGUUUCUGCCUUGUGCUGGGUGGGUCUGGCUGUGUGGCACUUGCUGUGGCAGGUGACUGAGGACUUUUGUGCCCAUCUUGGCAAUGUGGCCCGAGGAGUGUGCCUGGAGCUGGCUGGAGUCAGGGAGGCUGGAGAUUGCUUUUGGAAAUCCAAGGGGCCUGGGCCCUAAGGCACCCGUGCCCACUCACCUCCACCUCCCCAGAUUGGCAGCUGCUAUCAAGGCUGGGGUGCUGCAAACACAGCUGGACCCAAAGUCUGAGGGUAAAAGACAACUGUGUGCUUUCACAGCUGUGGCCAGAAAUAGCAACUGCUCCUUGUAAACCAUCAAAGAAAUACAGAUGUAUUCCCACAAAAAUAAGCAUCCUCUUUUCCCAGU